rnacentral:pre_miRNA from 13 species
GUCGCUCUCCUCGUGUUCACUGUGAGCUUUGAUGUUUUUAAUCAUAAGGCACGCGGUGAAUGCCAAGAGAGGACUU